UGCAGGGCAGGGGUUAGAUCAGGCUGCAUGCACUAAUGGAAACUCUGAAGCAAUUUCUGCCAGUAGCCAAAGAGCACAUUUCUUUGUACAAACAGCACAGCACUCUCAAAGGAAGCUGAGCCUAGAAGGAAAAGCUGUGAGACCUGAGACAGACACCAGUCUACUUGGCAAAUUCCUGGUUGCCAGAUAGUCCAGUCCAGUCUUGGCAACAGCAUCAGCCAUGAAUGCAGUGAGUGGCAUGCUACAUUUUUACUCCUUGUAGUGAGGAGGCAUGGCAUCCCGCAGAGAUUGACAGGCAGGGACUACAACCCAUCACCUGCUGAGUGGAGCGAGGAAAGGGCCGCCCACCCACCGGAAGCAGAGUGGUGAAACAGGAAGAGGAAGUAUAAAAGGCCAGCCCUGAAGCUUAGUUGGGCCGGAGGCACCAAGGAAGACAGACAGAUCCCUCUUGCUGCCAGAGCCCGAAGAGGACCCUGGCCUAGUGCUUACCAGCAACUGUAGCACACAGAUGAAUUCCAAUUCAAGUGAUGACGUACACAUUUUGUCAGCAUUCAACACCCAAUCAUUGAGAUCUUUCUCCAGCUCAGGAAAUGAAGUGCACCUCAUUGGACAUUUUUUCUUGCUUCCUGGCAUGUCUUUAAAUGUCAUUUUAUUUUUUUGCCAUUCUCUUACUCGUUUCCCAUUGAUACAGAAUUCACAAGCUGUGCCACAAUUAUUGUUUUCUUCUUCAUAUUCAACAACUUUACAUUUGAAUGCUGCUUGAUAAGCAGGCUGUUUUCUUUUGAUUUCACUGUUUAUUUUAAAUACUAGUAUGAAAAUCUUAGAAAAUAAUAAUUUAGUUAUAGAUUUUGUAUGACUUUAUACAGGAAUGUCACCUGCUUUAUCACUGUCCAAUUAUUAUUAUUCUUUCUUUAUUUCCAACAGCCCUGUAGAUUGGCGCGUCUUUGGCGAUAACAGGCUAUUUAAAUUUUAUCACAGAUUCCAUCGAUUCUGCAUGUUAUAUUUUCAAAUUGGCUUGAGACUUACAAGGUCCAUUGGUAGAAAUGCAUGAAGAGAUCAUAUUACACAGUAGUGGUCUGACACCAGUGCCAUAGUAUUAUCAUUCAUUGUAUUUUUCUGAUUGGAUUGUAAAGUGUAUUAUUUUGUGAAAUGCAAAGGUCAAAUGCAAUGGAGUUCUGCAGCAGUGUUAUUUUAGCUUUCAUUUCAAGCCAGUCCAUUAAACAAAGCCUUUUCAACUUUAAACAGCUGCAGUACAGACAUCAAUAAAUUAUUUUACGAAUAAUAUAAGUACUUGCUAUAAAAAUAAUUAUAAUAGAGUCUCGUAGUAGAAAAAUACUAGGAAAAGCAAGCAGCUAGUACUAGGAAAAUUGAACUUUAGGGAAGCACAUGUUUUUAAGUGCUUUGUU